GAUGAACGCUGGCGGCGUGCCUAAUACAUGCGAGUCGAGCGAAUGGAUUAAGAGCUUGCUCUUAUGAAGUUAGCGGCGGACGGGUGAGUAACACGUGGGUAACCUGCCCAUAAGACUAGGAUAAAUCCGGGAAACCGGGGCUAAUACCGGAUAACAUUUUGAACCGCAUGGUUCGAAAUUGAAAGGCGGCUUCGGCUGUCACUUAUGGAUGGACCCGCGUCGCAUUAGCUAGUUGGUGAGGUAACGGCUCACCAAGGCAACGAUGCGUAGCCGACCUGAGAGGGUGAUCGGCCACACUGGGACUGAGACACGGCCCAGACUCCUACGGGAGGCAGCAGUAGGGAAUCUUCCGCAAUGGACGAAAGUCUGACGGAGCAACGCCGCGUGAGUGAUGAAGGCUUUCGGGUCGUAAAACUCUGUUGUUAGGGAAGAACAAGUGCUAGUUGAAUAAGCUGGCACCUUGACGGUACCUAACCAGAAAGCCACGGCUAACUACGUGCCAGCAGCCGCCGUAA
rnacentral:rRNA from 1 species